rnacentral:rRNA from 1 species
CCUACGGGUGGCAGCAGUGGGGAAUAUUGCACAAUGGGGGAAACCCUGAUGCAGCGACGCCGCGUGAGUGAUGAAGUUAUUCGUUACGUAAAGCUCUGUCAGCAGGGAAGAAAAUUACGGUACCUGAUCAACAAUCCCCGGCCAACUCCGUCCCAGCAGCCGCGGUCAUACGGAGGGGGCAAGCGUUAACCGGAUUUACUGGGGGUAAAGUGAGCGUAGACGGCAGUGCAAGUCUGGGGUGAAAGGCGGGGGCUCAACCCCGGGACUGCUUUGGAAACUGUACGGCUGGAGUGCAGGAGAGGUUAGUGGAAUUCCUGGUGUAGGGGUGAAAUGCGUAGAUAUUAGGAGGAACAUCAGUGGCGAAGGCGACUUACUGGACUGUAACUGACGUUGAGGCGCGAAAGCGUGGGGAGCAAACAGGAUUAGAUACCCCGGUAGUC